rnacentral:tRNA from 1 species
GCGGAAGUAGCUCAGUGGUAGAAUACAACCUUGCCAAGGUUGGGGUCGCGGGUUCGAAUCCCGUCUUCCGCUCCA